rnacentral:rRNA from 1 species
CAGUCGCCGCGGGAACACGUAGGGUGCAAGCGUUAAUCGGAAUUACUGGGCGUAAAGCGUGCGCAGGCGGUUCGCUAAGACAGAUGUGAAAUCCCCGGCUUAACCUGGGAACUGCAUUUGUGACUGGCGGGCUAGAGUAUGGCAGAGGGGGGUAGAAUUCCACGUGUAGCAGUGAAAUGCGUAGAGAUGUGGAGGAAUACCGAUGGCGAAGGCAGCCCCCUGGGCCAAUACUGACGCUCAUGCACGAAAGCGUGGGGAGCAAACAGGAUUAGAUACCCCCGUAGUCCCUGUCUCUUAUACC